rnacentral:rRNA from 1 species
GAUAAACGCUGGCGGCGUGCCUAACACAUGCAAGUCGAACGCCCUUUUGCGCAAGUGAGAGGGAGUGGCGGACGGGUGAGUAGCACGUGGGUACCUACCUUGAGGUGAGGAAUACCACCGAGAAAUCGGUGACAAGACCGCAUGUCUUCGGCACCGAAGAAAGUCUCGCAAGAGACGCCACAAGAUGAGCCUGCGCCUGAUUAGCUGGUUGGUGAGGUAACAGCUCACCAAGGCAACGAUCAGUAGCUGGUCUGAGAGGAUGAUCAGCCACACUGGGAUUGAGAACGGCCCAGACUCCUACGGGGGCAGCAGUGAGGAAUUUUCGUCAAUGGGGGCAACCCUGAACGAGCAACGCCGCGUGCAGGAUGACACUUUUCGGAGCGUAAACUG